CCUACGGGAGGCAGCAGUGAGGAAUAUUGGUCAAUGGACGAGAGUCUGAACCAGCCAAGUAGCGUGAAGGAUGACUGCCCUAUGGGUUGUAAACUUCUUUUAUAUGGGAAUAAAAUGUUCCACGUGUGGGAUUUUGUAUGUACCAUAUGAAUAAGGAUCGGCUAACUCCGUGCCAGCAGCCGCGGUAAUACGGAGGAUCCGAGCGUUAUCCGGAUUUAUUGGGUUUAAAGGGAGCGUAGGUGGAUUGUUAAGUCAGUUGUGAAAGUUUGCGGUUUAACCGUAAAAUUGCAGUUGAAACUGGCAGUCGUGAGUGCAGUAGAGGUAGGCGGAAUUCGUGGUGUAGCGGUGAAAUGCUUAGAUAUCACGAAGAACUCCGAUUGCGAAGGCAGCUCACUGGACUGCAACUGACACUGAGGCUCGAAAGUGUGGGUAUCAAACAGGAUUAGAUACCCUUGUAGUC
rnacentral:rRNA from 1 species